UACGAAGGGGGCUAGCGUUGUUCGGAAUUACUGGGCGUAAAGCGUGCGCAGGCGGCUUCUCAAGUCAGGGUGAAAGACGGUAGCUUAACUAUCGCAGUGCCUUUGAUACUGAUGGGCUUGAAUGUAGUUGAGGUAGGCGGAAUGUGACAAGUAGCGGUGAAAUGCAUAGAUAUGUCACAGAACACCAAUUGCGAAGGCAGCUUACUAAAGUAUGAUUGACGCUGAGGCACGAAAGCGUGGGGAUCAAACAGG
rnacentral:rRNA from 1 species